rnacentral:rRNA from 1 species
AGGUCAGCAUACUGCCGUGAAUACGUUCCCGGGCCCUUGUACACACCGCCCGUCCACACCAUGAGAGUUGGGAAUACCCGAAGCCUGUGAGCUAACUUUUAGAGGCAGCAGUCGAAGGUAGAAUCAAUGAUUGGGUGAAGUCGUAACAAGGUACC